CCAAUAGCGUAUAUUAAAGUUGUUGCAGUUAAAAAGCUCGUAGUUGAAUUUCGGGGUCUGUCCGUCGGUCGGGCUUCACGGUCCGUACUGGUGUGAUGGGUUCCUACCUUCUGAAUAACCGGCAUGCCAUUCAGUUGGUGCGCCGGGGAAGCAGAGCUAUUACCUUGAAAAAAUUAGAGUGCUUAAAGCAGGCUAGUGCUUGAAUAGAUUAGCAUGGAAUAAUAAAAUAGGACGGCAUGGUUCUAUUUUGUUGGUUUCUAGGAUCACCGUAAUGAUUAAUAGGGAUAGUUGGGGGCAUUAGUAUUCAAUUGUCAGAGGUGAAAUUUUUGGAUUUAGUGAAGACUAACUGCUGCGAAAGCAUUUGCCAAGGAUGUUUUCAUUAAUCAAGAACGAAAGUUAGGGGAUCGAAGACGAUCAGAUACCGUCGUAGUCUUAACCAUAAACUAUGCCGACUAGGGAUCGGACGAUGUUAAUUUUUUAAUGACUCGUUCGGCGCCUUACGGGAAACCAAGUGUUUGGGUUC
rnacentral:rRNA from 1 species